rnacentral:lncRNA from 12 species
CUCCUUCGCGAUUGUCUAAAAAAAGGUCAGGCACCAAAACAACGCCAAUCCAAUUCUUUCUUCUGGACAGCCCAACAGAGAGAACCCCCAAACCAUCUGAUGAGCUAAUGCUUUUACAAGCUGGGUUAGGAAGAAGGACUGUAAAUGUUCCAGAGGAUGCUUGCCAUAAUGAGAUUCCACACAUUCUUUCUGAGACGUAUCCGAAGAUGUCAGAACUUGAGGGUGCCUGGAUGCUGCACAAAGCCAUGGGAGGAUCAGGUCAACGGAAACUCAACUUGUUGACACCUGAAGAGGAAGG